rnacentral:rRNA from 1 species
GACGAACGCUGGCGGCGUGCUUAACACAUGCAAGUCGAACGGAAAGGCCCUGCUUGCAGGGUACUCGAGUGGCGAACGGGUGAGUAACACGUGGGUGAUCUGCCCUGCACUUCGGGAUAAGCCUGGGAAACUGGGUCUAGUACCGGAUAGGAGCCAUUCUGAGUGUGUUGGUUGGAAAGUUUUUUCGGUGUAGGGUGAGCUCGCGGCCUAUCAGCUUGUUGGUGGGGUAUUGGCCUACCAAGGCGGCGACGGGUAGCCGGCCUGAGAGGGUGGACGGCCACAGUGGGACUGAGAAACGGACCAGACACCUACGGGAGGCAGAAGUGGGGAAUAUUGCUCAAGGGGCGCAAGCCUGAUGCAGAGACGCCGCGUGGGGGAUGACGGCCUUCGGGUUGGAAAAUCAUUUCGCUAGGGACGAAGCGUUUUGUGACGGUACCUAGAUAAGAAGCACCGGCUAACUACGUG